rnacentral:rRNA from 1 species
AAUGAACGCUGGCGGCAGGCCUAACACAUGCAAGUCGAACGGAUCCUUCGGGAUUAGUGGCGGACGGGUGAGUAACGCGUGGGAACAUACCCAAAGGUACGGAAUAGCCUCGGGAAACUGGGAGUAAUACCGUAUUUGCUCGACAGAGGAAAGAUUUAUCGCCUUUGGAUUGGCCCGCGUUGGAUUAGGUAGUUGGUGGGGUAAGGGCCUACCAAGCCGACGAUCCAUAGCUGGUUUGAGAGGAUGAUCAGCCACCCUGGGACUGAGACACGGCCCAGACUCCUACGGGAGGCAGCAGUGGGGAAUCUUAGACAAUGGGGGAAACCCUGAUCUAGCCAUGCCGCGUGAUCGAUGAAGGCCUUAGGGUUGUAAAGAUCUUUCAGGUGGGAAGAUAAUGACUGUACCACCAGAAGAAGCCCCGGCUAACUCCGUGCCAGCAGCCGCAGUAA